UUUCCGUAGGUGAACCUGCGGAAGGAUCAUUACAUUCAGUAGCCUAGCUACUUGUUUACACCCUUGUUUUUGCGUACCUAUUGUUUCCUCGGCGGGCACGCCCGCCAAUGGGGACCACAAAGAAACCUCUUGCAGUUGCAGUAAACGUCAAAAACAAAACAAAAAUCAAAACUUUCAACAACGGAUCUCUUGGUUCUGGCAUCGAUGAAGAACGCAGC
rnacentral:misc_RNA from 1 species